GAAUAUUGGUCAAUGGGCGAGAGCCUGAACCAGCUAAGUAGCGUGAAGGAUGAAGGUCCUACGGAUUGUAAACUUCUUUUAUACGGGAAUAAAGUAUCCUACGUGUAGGAUUUUGUAUGUACCGUAUGAAUAAGCAUCGGCUAACUCCGUGCCAGCAGCCGCGGUAAUACGGAGGAUGCGAGCGUUAUCCGGAUUUAUUGGGUUUAAAGGGAGCGCAGACGGGAGAUUAAGUCAGUUGUGAAAGUUUGCGGCUCAACCGUAAAAUUGCAGUUGAUACUGGUUUCCUUGAGUGCAGUUGAGGCAGGCGGAAUUCGUGGUGUAGCGGUGAAAUGCUUAGAUAUCACGAAGAACCCCGAUUGCGAAGGCAGCUUGCUAAACUGUAACUGACGUUCAUGCUCGAAAGUGUGGGUAUCAAACAGGAUUAGAUACCCUGGUAGUCCACACGGUAAACGAUGGAUACUCGCUGUUGGCGAUAUACUGUCAGCGGCCAAGCGAAAGCAUUAAGUAUCCCACCUGGGGAGUACGCCGGCAACGGUGAAACUCAAAGGAAUUGACGGGGGCCCGCACAAGCGGAGGAACAUGUGGUUUAAUUCGAUGAUACGCGAGGAACCUUACCCGGGCUUAAAUUGCAGACGAAUUACGAGGAAACUUGUAAGCCGCAAGGCGUCUGUGAAGGUGCUGCAUGGUUGUCGUCAGCUCGUGCCGUGAGGUGUCGGCUUAAGUGCCAUAACGAGCGCAACCCUCGUGGUCAGUUACUAACAGGUUAAGCUGAGGACUCUGGCCAGACUGCCAUCGUAAGAUGUGAGGAAGGUGGGGAUGACGUCAAAUCAGCACGGCCCUUACGUCCGGGGCUACACACGUGUUACAAUGGGAGGUACAGAAGGCUGCUACCCGGCAACGGGAUGCCAAUCCCCAAAACCUCUCUCAGUUCGGACUGGAGUCUGCAACCCGACUCCACGAAGCUGGAUUCGCUAGUAAUCGCGCAUCAGCCACGGCGCGGUGAAUACGUUCCCG
rnacentral:rRNA from 1 species